UCGUAACAAGGUUUCCGUAGGUGAACAUGCGGAAGGAUCAUUG
rnacentral:rRNA from 1 species